rnacentral:rRNA from 1 species
CUACGUGCCAGCAGCCGCGGUAAUACGGAAGGUCCAGGCGUUAUCCGGAUUUAUUGGGUUUAAAGGGAGCGUAGGCUGGAGAUUAAGUGUGUUGUGAAAUGUAGACGCUCAACGUCUGAAUUGCAGCGCAUACUGGUUUCCUUGAGUACGCACAACGUUGGCGGAAUUCGUCGUGUAGCGGUGAAAUGCUUAGAUAUGACGAAGAACUCCGAUUGCGAAGGCAGCUGACGGGAGCGCAACUGACGCUUAAGCUCGAAGGUGCGGGUAUCAAACAGGAUUAGAUACCCUGGUAGUCCGCACAGUAAACGAUGGAUGCCCGCUGUUGGUACCUGGUAUCAGCGGCUAAGCGAAAGCAUUAAGCAUCCCACCUGGGGAGUACGCCGGCAACGGUGAAACUCAAAGGAAUUGACGGGGGCCCGCACAAGCGGAGGAACAUGUGGUUUAAUUCGAUGAUACGCGAGGAACCUUACCCGGGCUUGAAUUGCAGAGGAAAGAUCCAGAGAU